rnacentral:rRNA from 1 species
CAGUAGCCGCGGUAAUACGAAGGGGGCUAGCGUUGCUCGGAAUGACUGGGCGUAAAGGGCGCGUAGGCGGCGGCCAAAGUCAGGCGUGAAAUUCCCGGGCUCAACCUGGGGGCUGCGUUUGAUACUUGGUUGCUUGAGUGGGGAAGAGGGUCGUGGAAUUCCCAGUGUAGAAGUGAAAUUCGUAGAUAUUGGGAAGAACACCGGUGGCGAAGGCGGCGACCUGGUCCUUUACUGACGCUGAGGCGCGAAAGCGUGGGGAGCAAACAGGAUUAGAUACCCCUGUAGUCCCUGUCUCUUAUAC